UGGUGACUAUAGCAAGGAGGUCACACCUGUUCCCAUGCCGAACACAGAAGUUAAGCUCCUUAGCGUCGAUGGUAGUCGGCUUGACGAAGUGAAAACGUUUGAAUC
rnacentral:rRNA from 1 species